rnacentral:rRNA from 1 species
GUGUCAGCAGCCGCGGUAAUACGAAAGGUGCAAGCGUUACUCGGAAUCACUGGGCGUAAAGCGCACGUAGGCGGACUCGUAGGUCAAUUGUGAAAUACCUGGGCUCAACCUGGGAACUGCAGUUGAAACCGCUUGUCUUGAAUACCUGAGAGGGUGGGGGAAUACCUGGUGGAGAAGUGAAAUUCGUAGAGAUCAGGUGGAACACCGGAGGCGAAGGCGCCUGCCUGGCAGUGUAUUGACGCUGAGGUGCGAAAGUGCGGGGAGCAAACAGGAUUAGAUACCCUGGUAGUCCGCACCGUAAACGAUGGAUACUAGGCGUUCGGAGAGUUAACCCUCUGAGUGCCAAAGUUCACACAUUAAGUAUCCCGCCUGGGAAGUACGGUCGCAAGACUAAA